GAUAUUUUCUUCCUUGCUCUGUGUAACCAUCUAUCGAAUCCCCCAUCCCUCCCUUUUCUCACUCUGUAAUUUCCCUCAAAUCCCUCGCCGAUUCUCUCUCGCCAUUCUCAGUCUACCCUUUCUCAGCUUGCAGCUCCAUGCUCCACCUCCAGAUUAUAGCAUCGGGUCAAUUGUGACGGCUUCCACUCAAGGCAUUGGCUCUUGAAGGCGCCUCCGUCGUCAUCUCCUCCCGCAAGCGGGUCACUCUCCGACACUCCGGAGGCGGUACAGUAGCGAGGAGGAUUCGGAUCCGGAGUACGGAGACAGGAGGCGGAAAACGAUGAGGAGGAGG